CUCGGUUGGUAAGGAGCAAUGAAAAAGCGAAUAACUAAACCACAGCGUCACCUGUAGCUGUUGUUAUCUUUCUUGAAGCGUGGUGCACUGGACUCGUGAUCUGAUGUUAAAAGGUCACGAUUUGCAUAGGAAUUUUUGAUCGAGGUAACACAGUUAUGAGGUGAAAGAAGUAGGCCUACGUUUACAGUAUCCGUGGUUUCUGCACGCAGACGUAUAAGUGGGGAAAUAAUAAUGGAGAACAGCUGUGCUAAAAUACCCGAAAUGCAUAUGCAUGGAGGAGAGAAACCAAUGGAAUGUGUAAUCUGUGGAAAUGAGAUGGACAACUGUGAUAUCAACCUAUUCUCUGCCCUGAAUUCCUCUUUGGAGGAUGUUUCUGAUGAAGAGAUAUCAACCAAGAAAGAAAGACACUGGAGGCUUGGGCCAGAAGACCUUAACGAUACGCUUUUGUAUGACUUCUCCGGGUUUGAGAUAUUCAAAGGCCUGGAACAAAUGGAGAGCAGAGAGAAGGCCUGCUGAGUGCUGUGGUUUUAGGGUUAAGUGUUUGGUAUCACAGACUUGGGGGGGGG